rnacentral:sRNA from 1 species
AAGUCAAAGUAGUAGCAGUUGAACAUACUAUUCCCAAGAAGUACUUAAGUUCAAUUGAUUGUAAAUUAGAUCAAACUGCUGGAAGAACAGAUUCUUCAAAUGGACUUGAGUGAGUGCCAGCUUUUAAAAAAUUGUCUGAAAUACAUGCUACAGGAUUUAACUAUCAGAAUGAAGAUGAAAAAGUCACCUUGUCUUUCCCUAGUACUCUGCAAACAGGUAAUAACUCUUUCCAAUACUUUGUAUUUUGUUUAGUAUGCCACUUUUUGGAAGUGGUCACUGUCAAUAUCUUGUUAUGGUUUGAUGGCCUUGGAGAUUUAAAACCGAGUAAAAGUGUACGGGAACCUUAAAGAUAGAUUUUGUUGGAGAGCUGAAUGACAAAAUGAAAGGUUUCUAUAGAAGUAAAUAUACUACCCCUUCUGGAGAGGUGCGCUAUGCUGCUGUAACACAGUUUGAGGUAUGGGUUAUUCUUCUCUAAAAUACUAUUAUUCUUAAAUUAGGCAUUCUGACAAAGCUGUGUUUUAUUAUGUGGGGUGAUUAUUUGAGGCUCGGUGCCCUUGGCCAUGAUUGUAUUCACAAUUUUAGAAUUUUUAUUUUGUAUUUAGCCAUUCUCUCUAUAGAAAGGAGGGAAUUAAGGGUAUGGGUUGGGGAAUGAUUAUAUACAGUUAUACACACAGACACUCAAACACACGACACAUUUUGAUACCUGAAUUGCCUAUAUACUGUGUACCUUUCUUAAAAUCAUUCUCUUAGUAUUUGACUCCUAUGGCUUUUCCUACAGUGUUAUUAGCUGUUUUCUGGAAUUCCUUUCCUUCUUUGACAUCUUUUGUUUAUCUUACUGUAGUAUCUGUGCUGUCUUUGAUUUUUUUUUUCCUCCGUGUGUGUGUGUGUGUGUGUGUGUAUACAUAUAUAUACACACACACACAUAUAUAUAUUUGCUGUCCUGUGUAGGCCAGGAUGAUUUUUAUUUGUCAAGUAUUUGCAAAUUAUAUAAAUUGUUUUGAAUCUGCUAGUCGUAUUUUUAAGUGUUAAAUCUAAAUUUAUUUCUAUAAAUUUCAAUAUGGAUAAAGAAACAAUUCAUGAUAUCCAUUCUUAUGUUUCUGCCCAUAUCCCUAUAUUGUUUGCUUGUUGGGGAUAACCUAAAAUUUUUUAUCCAGUUUACUACUAAUUUGUUUUACCUGAUGUAUCUUCUUUCAAUAAUUUUAUGUUACCUUCUGUUUAGAAUAAUAUUUGCCACAGAUAUUUAGGUUUAAUUCUGUGUUUGAAUGAUUCUAAUGCCUUUCUCUACCCACUUUGAACACUUCAUCCUGGAAUGGUUGGCUGAUGUAUGUCUCUAAACAAUUUUUUUUUAGGAGAAGGUAUGUGGGUAAUGUAAUUCCUGAGCCUUUGCUUUUCUGAAAAAUCUUUCAUUUGCCUUUAUACAUGACCAGAUUUACUGGGUAUAUAGAUUUGUUGAUGAAAAAAGGUAAAAAGAGCAACUUUUGACAUCCAGAGGUUGUCUGGCACUCACAGCUAGCCCAUGUUAUUCUCCCUAUUAGACAUAAUAUUACAGAAUACCAACUUUAGACAAGGCUACUUGAGACCAUAAUAAAGUGAGACAAAACAAGGGAUCCAUAAUUUUGCCUAGGUACAGUACAUACAGGAUCACUAUGCUACCCGCAAAAUAUCAAACAUCUCCAUCUCUCAGUUAAAAUGAGUGACUACUGCUUCUUUACCAAUUACGGUUUUAGAUUUGCUCUAGUCUGGCCUCUGUAUAGAUAAGAUUUAUUGAGAUACAUACCCAUAGAAUUGCCUCAUAGGACUUCUUGCAGCACUCAAUCUAGAGUGAAUCCCUGUUUACUUAGACCCUCUUCCAAAUCAUGUAAACCAAAUCCCAAAUCGUAUAGUGGGUUCUUUCUUACAUUCUUAUGGAGACACCAGUGGUUCCCUAUGGUGUGAGUUCUCUCUUGCCAUGAGUAAUAGGCCCAGCUCAUUCAAUUGUAAGAGUAGUACAAUCAGCUUACAAUUUUUCACUUUCAAAAGUCUGUGAAUAUUGUUUCCAAAGUCUUCUACAUCUCACUUUUUCAAGACGAGGGGUCACAGACUAAAAUGUUUCUUCUUCCUUUGUAGGUAAGAUGUUGUUUCGUUUUGCUUUAUUUUCUUCCUGCUUGCUUGUUAAAUUAUAUCUUGAUAUUGAAAAUUAAACUGUUUUUUAAACCAGGUGUUCACUUUUCAUUGAUUUUUGCCUAGUACUUGGUGAACCCUAUUGAUUUUUAGAUUCCGAUAAUUUUUCAGUGUGAAAGAGUUUUUCUGUUAUAUCUUCACUGUGAUAUCCAUUCCAUUCCCUUCUCAGUUAAUACUCAGUUUAGCUCUAGUAUCUGUCUCUCAAAUUAUGUUUAAUUGCUUUUAUCACUUUGUCCUUUAGAUAUUUUCAAACUUAAAUCUUGUUAUCUAUGUCAUUAAUUUCCUUUAGUAUAAAUUCAUUUCUCUGCUGCUGCUUCUAAUUUAAAUGCUUCUGUGCUGCCAUUUCUUUCCUUAUACUCUCCCUUCUUUUCAGAUGUCUUUUUUAUUCAUUGAUAGAAUUCAUUAUUUAUUUAAUGUUUUUGAGAAUAUAGUCAGCCAAGUUUCUUCUGCCUCUUUGGUUUGUUUGUUUGUUUGUUCGUUUGUUUUUUAGUCGGAGCCUUGCUCUGUCGCCCAGGCUGGAGUUCAGUGGUGCAAUCUUGGCUCACUGCAACCUCCACCUCCCAGGUUCGAGCCAUUCUCCUGCCUCAGCCUCCCGAGUAGCUGGGAUUACAGGCACAUGUCACCAUGCCUGGCUUAUUUUUGUAUUUUUAGUAGAAACGGGGUUUCACCAUGUUGACCAGGCUGGUCUCGAACUCCUGACCUCAGGUGAUCGCCCACCUCGGCCUCCCAAAGUGCUGGAAUUACAAGCAUGAGCCACUGCACCCAGCCUGUUGUUUCUUUUUAUGAUACAGAAUCUUGUCAUUGGUUCCAUUUUAUUUACUAAAUAAAUGGAAAAUUCUGUUUACUAAAGUUUCUUUCCUUUAUAACUGAUACCCUGCAGAACCCCUAAGUUUUAUUUUGCUUUCAUAAGUUUGCUCUUUUUUAAAUUUUUAAUGAAAGAGUAAGGACUCAAGUAGGUCAAGUGGCGACAGUUUUAUGUGUAGCAUAUGGAAGUGCCAUUAAAUGAAUGACCUGUCUUGAAUUGAUAGAGCAUCUGUCUUUAUUCCCAUUGCUGCCAUUCCAGAUAAAGAACAAAGCACAUCAAAGAUUGAGAAUAUUUUUAUUUUUAAUUCAAAAAUAAAAGCCAGAGAGGCAACUUACCAUGUUUUCCUAACUUUGAAUUCUUAUAGCAUACUCUUUACUGUUCUGUGCUGUGUUGUGUUAACAUUAUUGAUUUGAAGGCAUUUGCAUUAAAUUUGAAAUGUUAAAAUGUAAACAAAAAUUUAGUUGUAAAUAAUUAUAAUAUAUUGUUAAAAUCCAUAGCAGACACUGUUCCUGGAUAUUUGCUGGAAUGGCAGUGGUAGCAAGUGUUGUCUUUUCUUUCUAGUUAAUGCCUAGCUUGUUGCCUGGCACUGAAGAGAAAGUAAAUAUUUGAACAAGGGAAUGAAUGAAUGACAGAGGGAAAUGGUGACUGCUUUAUGAAAUAACUUGUUAGGUUAAUUCUAAGGUAUUUAUAUUUCAUAUUCUUUUCUUAAGGCUACUGAUGCCCGAAGGGCUUUUCCUUGCUGGGAUGAGCCUGCUAUCAAAGCAACUUUUGAUAUCUCAUUGGUUGUUCCUAAAGACAGAGUAGCUUUAUCAAACAUGAAUGUAAUUGACCGGAAACCAUACCCUGAUGAUGAAAAUUUAGUGGAAGUGAAGUUUGCCCGCACACCUGUUAUGUCUACAUAUCUGGUGGCAUUUGUUGUGGGUGAAUAUGACUUUGUAGAAACAAGGUCAAAAGAUGGUGUGUGUGUCCGUGUUUACACUCCUGUUGGCAAAGCAGAGCAAGGAAAAUUUGCGUUAGAGGUUGCUGCUAAAACCUUGCCUUUUUAUAAGGACUACUUCAAUGUUCCUUAUCCUCUACCUAAAAUUGAUCUCAUUGCUAUUGCAGACUUUGCAGCUGGUGCCAUGGAGAACUGGGGCCUUGUUACUUAUAGGGAGACUGCAUUGCUUAUUGAUCCAAAAAAUUCCUGUUCUUCAUCCCGCCAGUGGGUUGCUCUGGUUGUGGGACAUGAACUCGCCCAUCAAUGGUUUGGAAAUCUUGUUACUAUGGAAUGGUGGACUCAUCUUUGGUUAAAUGAAGGUUUUGCAUCCUGGAUUGAAUAUCUGUGUGUAGACCACUGCUUCCCAGAGUAUGAUAUUUGGACUCAGUUUGUUUCUGCUGAUUACACCCGUGCCCAGGAGCUUGACGCCUUAGAUAACAGCCAUCCUAUUGAAGUCAGUGUGGGCCAUCCAUCUGAGGUUGAUGAGAUAUUUGAUGCUAUAUCAUAUAGCAAAGGUGCAUCUGUCAUCCGAAUGCUGCAUGACUACAUUGGGGAUAAGGACUUUAAGAAAGGAAUGAACAUGUAUUUAACCAAGUUCCAACAAAAGAAUGCUGCCACAGGUAAUCUUUAAUAGCUUGAGAUAGAAAUGGAGAGAAAGUAUUGUCACUCUAUCCAGGCUGGGACAUUUUAUUUUUGUUCUGAAUAUUUAACUCAAGGUCAGGAUCCAUGUAAUAAAUAAAUUAGCCUUAUUUG